rnacentral:misc_RNA from 1 species
GAUGAAGAACGUAGCGAAAUGCGAUACUUGGUGUGAAUUGCAGAAUCCCGUGAACCAUCGAGUCUUUGAACGCAAGUUGCGCCUCAAGCCAUUGGGUUGAGGGCACGUCUGCCUGGGCGUCACAUAUCGUUGCCUGAUGCCAGUUUCCUCGUGAUGGGUGACUGUGCAGGGCGAAUGAUGGCUUCCCGUGAGCAUUGUUGCCUCAUGGUUGGUUGAAAAUUGAGUCCUUGGUAGGGAGCACCGUGAUAGAUGGUGGUUGAGUGACGAACGAGACCCAAUCAUGUGAGACCCCUACCGAAUUUGGCCUUCAUGACCCACAUGCGUCUUUGGAACGCUCAUGACGAGACCUCAGGUCAGGCGGGGCUACCCGCUGAGUUUAAGCAUAUCAAUAAGCGGAGGA